rnacentral:rRNA from 1 species
CCUACGGGGGGCAGCAGUGGGGAAUAUUGGACAAUGGACCAAAAGUCUGAUCCAGCAAUUCUGUGUGCACGAUGACGUUUUUCGGAAUGUAAAGUGCUUUCAGUUGGGAAGAAAAAAAUGACGGUACCAACAGAAGAAGUGACGGCUAAAUACGUGCCAGCAGCCGCGGUAAUACGUAUGUCACAAGCGUUAUCCGGAUUUAUUGGGCGUAAAGCGCGUCUAGGUGGUUAUGUAAGUCUGAUGUGAAAAUGCAGGGCUCAACUCUGUAUUGCGUUGGAAACUGCAUGACUAGAGUACUGGAGAGGUAAGCGGAACUACAAGUGUAGAGGUGAAAUUCGUAGAUAUUUGUAGGAAUGCCGAUGGGGAAGCCAGCUUACUGGACAGAUACUGACGCUAAAGCGCGAAAGCGUGGGUAGCAAACAGGAUUAGAUACCCUUGUAGUCCU